rnacentral:lncRNA from 1 species
AUCGGAGCUUGAGAACAGUAGAAAAAAAAAGAAUAAGAGAGAGAGUGGGUGCUUGUUCUCUUGAAGAUUUUACCUGAGAGUUCCUUGUGCCCUCUUUUAUAUAGAGGAGAGUAGACAUGUGUAACCUCCAAAUUCGAUAAUGGAAGUAGAGAAUCAGUGCUCACGAUCAUAAGGAUCAUGAGAUGAGUAGUGGGUUAUAAGCAUUAACUACAUGAUUUUAGUUCAUUUGCCCAUGAUUAAAGGAAUUCAUCGA